GACGAACGCUGGCGGCGUGCUUAACACAUGCAAGUCGAACGGAAAGGCCCUGCUUUUGUGGGGUGCUCGAGUGGCGAACGGGUGAGUAACACGUGAGUAACCUGCCCUUGACUUUGGGAUAACUUCAGGAAACUGGGGCUAAUACCGUAUAGGAGCUCCUGCUGCAUGGUGGGGGUUGGAACGUUUCGGCGGUUGGGGAUGGACUCGCGGCUUAUCAGCUUGUUGGUGGGGUAGUGGCUUACCAAGGCUUUGACGGGUAGCCGGCCUGAGAGGGUGACCGGCCACAUGGGGACUGAGAUACGGCCCAGAGUCCUACGGGAGGCAGCAGUGGGGAAUAUUGCACAAUGGGCGGAAGCCUGAUGCAGCAACGCCGCGUGCGGGAUGACGGCCUUCGGGUUGUAAACCGCUGUCGCCUGUGACGAAGCGUGAGUGACGGUAAUGGGUAAAGAAGCACCGGCUAACUACGUG
rnacentral:rRNA from 1 species